rnacentral:misc_RNA from 1 species
AGAAGAAUUUCAAGAUCCCAUUGCUUACAUUUUCAAGAUCGAAAAGGAAGCUUCUAAGUAUGGAAUUUGCAAAAUUGUACCUCCAGUACCUGCACCACCGAAGAAAACUGCUCUUGCUAACCUAAACCGGUCACUGUCAGCUCGGGCCGGUUCUAAUGGCCCAACAUUUACUACUAGGCAGCAGCAGAUCGGGUUUUGUCCGAG